rnacentral:rRNA from 1 species
GGAUUAGAUACCCUGGUAGUCCACGCCGUAAACGAUGUCGACUAGCCGUUGGGGAACUUGAGUCCUUGGUGGCGCAGUUAACGCGAUAAGUCGACCGCCUGGGGAGUACGGCCGCAAGGUUAAAACUCAAAUGAAUUGACGGGGGCCCGCACAAGCGGUGGAGCAUGUGGUUUAAUUCGAUGCAACGCGAAGAACCUUACCAGGCCUUGACAUCCUUGGAAUUGGGCAGAGAUGCCCGAGUGCCUUCGGGAAUCAAGUGACAGGUGCUGCAUGGCUGUCGUCAGCUCGUGCCG